CCCCUCUCAGGGUUGCUCCUGGAGAGGUUUCUAGUACUCUACCAGUCUUGACUAUGGGAGGUAGAGUCUAGCAGAAGCUUAUCCAUUCCAUUUCUAGCUUGGGCAGUGGCUAGCAAGUGGAAGGCAAUAUGCUACAAGU